CUUACCGGAGGCUAUAUGGAUCCCGAUCCCGCCCCUCUCCUGAACGGGAGAGCAAUUUCUUUCCGGUAAGCCAGCCUCCGCGCUGCUCACCGGUUACGUGAGGCAGCG
rnacentral:ncRNA from 1 species